AUACCAAUGAAGAAGAAACUCAUUCAUGGAUGUCAUAUUAGUAGAGCUGCCAAGCUGGAUACUGAUUUUACCACCAAAGGCAUUGUUGAAGCGUUUCAAAGAGGUUACCACAGAUACUAUUAAAUACAACAAGCAUGACAACAUGAAAAAAGGGAGUGUCACCAGGGUUUCCAUGGUGCUGGCAGCUUACGUGCCUUUUGGCCACUGCCUUUCUUAUAAGGAGCUCAAACAUAAGAACCACCGAAGA
rnacentral:lncRNA from 1 species